ACGAACGCUGGCGGCGUGCUUAACACAUGCAAGUCGAGCGAUGAAGCACCUUCGGGUGUGAAUUAGCGGCGAACGGGUGAGGAACACGUGAAGAAUCUGCCUUCAACUCUGGGAUAACUCCGGGAAACCGGGGCUAAUACCGGAUAUGAGCCUUGAUCGCAUGAUUGGGGCUGGAAAGUUUUUCGGUUGAAGAUGACUUCGCGGCCUAUCAGCUUGUUGGUGAGGUAAUGGCUCACCAAGGCGACGACGGGUAGCCGGCCUGAGAGGGCGACCGGCCACACUGGGACUGAGACACGGCCCAGACUCCUACGGGAGGCAGCAGUGGGGAAUAUUGGACAAUGGGCGAAAGCCUGAUCCAGCAAUGCCGCGUGAGUGAUGAAGGCCUUAGGGUUGUAAAGCUCUUUUACCAGGGAUGAUAAUGACAGUACCUGGAGAAUAAGCUCCGGCUAACCCCGUG
rnacentral:rRNA from 1 species